CUACGGGAGGCUCCAGCAGGGAAUAUUGCACAAUGGACGGAAGUCUGAUGCAGCGACGCCGCGUGGAUGAAGAAGGCCCUCGGGUUGUAAAAUCCUUUUAGUGGGGAAGAGGCAGGACGGUACCCACAGAAUAAGCGUCGGCUAACUACGUGCCAGCAGCCGCGGUAAGACGUAGGACGCAAGCGUUAUCCGGAUUUACUGGGCGUAAAGCGUCUGUAGGCGGAAUGAUAAGUUGGGCGUGAAAACUUUGGGCUCAACCCAAAGAGUGCGUUCAAUACUGUUAUUCUUGAGGAGGUCAGAGGGGAGCGGAAUUUCCGGUGUAGCGGUAAAAUGCGCAGAUAUCGGAAGGAACACCAGUGGCGAAGGCGGCUCCCUGGGGCCCACCUGACGCUGAGAGACGAAAGCUAGGGGAGCGAACAGGAUUAGAUACCCCGGUAGUC
rnacentral:rRNA from 1 species